AAAUAAAUAAAUAAAAGGAGAGGAGCCUCCUCCCAUCCCUCAUUUUCGGUUCUUUGGAACCGACUGAAGACCAGGCCCUUUUUCGCCGUUCUCCGCCGAGCCAUGGCCCCUUUUAACUCCGAUUUCCGCAGAGCACAUGGGAGCGACGGCGGACACGAGAUUCAGGCAAGGUUUUGGCAAAGUCAACGAGCAUUGGAGGGAUAACCUUGGCCAUUUUGGUGCAAGGCUGACAAGCGGUGGCAGAGGAGGCGUACGGCAGCACAUGGGAGCGGCGCAUGAGCAUUAGGGUUAGGUUAGGGUUUCAAUUUUACUGAAAUUGAGUUUAAGUUGUGGGCCACGUGGGCCACUAGGUUUUUUUUUUCUUAUUUUUGGGCUUGUAAUUCAUUUUUAGACUGUUUAAUUAUUUUGGAGAUUGGGUUGUUUUUGGUUUGGGGCUUUGGGCCCAGACAAAAUAUGGGCUUUACAAUAAUAAUAAUAAUAAUUAAAAAUAUUAUCUUUUA